GUGCAGCAGGCGAGAAACCUCCGCAAUGCGGGAAACCGCGACGGGGGACCCCGAGUGCCGUGGCAACGCCACGGCUUUUCCGGAGUGUAAAAAGCUCCGGGAAUAAGGGCUGGGCAAGGCCGGUGGCAGCCGCCGCGGUAAUACCGGCGGCCCGAGUGGUGGCCGCUAUUAUUGGGCCUAAAGCGUCCGUAGCCGGGCCCGUAAGUCCCUGGCGAAAUCCCACGGCUCAACCGUGGGGCUUGCUGGGGAUACUGCGGGUCUUGGGACCGGGAGAGGCGGGGGGUACCCCUGGGGUAGGGGUGAAAUCCGUAUAAUCCCCAGGGGGACCGCCAGUGGCGAAGGCGCCCCGCUGGAACGGGUCCGACGGUGAGGGACGAAGGCCAGGGGAGCAAAACCGGAUUAGAUACCCCCCGUAGU
rnacentral:rRNA from 1 species